UCUUCUGGCGAGAAACUUAGAGUCCCUUUCAUUCCAACUAACCCUGAAAAAUAGUGAAAUGAAAUUUUUUUUUUCAAGAUCAUGUCCAAUCAUGAUCAAUCUCGACUAUUGCAAUCAAUUUAAAUUGUUAUUUUUGAUGGCAAAUCAAAAUAUUAAUUCAGUGAAUGAAAACCUCCAAAUGUUUUACCCAUAAUUAAUCAACAGUCCCUCAAAAGGGUCAAAUGACAAUGACGUCUGCUAUUUUUAAAUUUAACGGUUAAACUCAAAGAGUUGGUUUCGGCUUUACUCUUUGGUUACAUUGAACGUUUGUUUCCAAUAUGUGAAUAUGUAUUGUUGUUUUCAAGUUUAUUAGUGAUUAGGGAGUCGAAAAUGAUCAAGUCAAUCAACAACAUAAUCAUCUUUAAUCCUUGUAAUCAUCAAAUGGUUAACCCAAUUCAUCCAAUUGACCUAAACUUGGUUAGAAGGAGAAAAACUGCCACGCCAGUGUUACCAAUCCUAGGACCUUACCGAAAAACUGAUUUUAAUUUGGACUCACCUUUUCUUGACUUGUUUCAUGGUUAAUCAAAAAUGGUAAAUUGGCGGCUAUAUUUUCGCUCUUUUCUGGUCAUUUUUUGAGGCCAAAAUAUCUACUAUCUUUGGCUGUUCAGUUUGUAAUACUGCCUGUUGUGUAUGGUGUUUAUUUUGCUAUAGUUGAACGUUAUUUGGUUGGUUAAUCGGCAACUGGCUUGCUUUUGUUGAACUGCUCUAACAUCAUCGUGAUGCAAAGAUAAACAAUUAGGUGUUACAAUCAUGUUCUUAAUUCUUUUCACCAUUAGACAAUAACAACAUCAAUAUUGAACCAUCAAAGUAAAGUUAAUGAAAGAAAAAGAAGUGCAAACUGUUGAUGUUAACAAACAACCUUCAUCACUAUUAUCAUCAUCAGAUCUUGUUUUCUUGGCGAGGAAAAAAAGAGUUUGGUUUACUUCUUAUCAAUUCUUUCAUUCAAUAUCAUUUGGUGUAUUUGGUCAAUACCGUGUUGAUUGUAAUUACCUGAAAGUAAAUCAAGUCACGUAAUUUCAAUGAUUAACUGGAUAAUCAUAAUAACCAAAUAGCGAAGUAACACUGAUCAAAGAUCACUUUACAAGUACAUUACCUGGUUCCACUCUCUUCUCCAAUCAAGCAAACAAAGGAAUAGCUAAUUGUGUUUGAGUUAAGCCACAAAAAAAGAAAUUAUAAUUCAUGAUUCUCUGUUGAUUAAAAUAUAAAUUGGAAUCCAGCUUCCAGUUGUUUGUAAUAAUAUUUGGUUUUACAAAAAAAAAGGUUGAAAACAAUACAAUCCGAUAUACUUUAAACCAUGAAACCUGUUGAACUGAAGAAUCGGAAAGCACCAUAAUCAAGCCAGGAUAAUUGGAAUUAACUUGUAAUCAUUUGCCAUUUUUCUGAAAAAAUAAAUAUUUAUUUAUAUAAAUAUUUCAACUCAAACAAGAUUAUCAUUCCAAUCUUCAGUUGUAUAAUAUUAAUUGAUGAAUCAAAUCAGUUAACAGUUGUUAUUAUCUUAAUUUUUCUGACAACAUUCAAUACUCACAAUUGUGUGAAUGGUGCAACAAGCUCAGCAAAACAUAUUAAUAUUGUUUAUUUAUGCAUAUUAGAGAGUGAUUAUUGGAAAUCUCAUUUUUCCGUAUCAUCAUCUUAUGGAAAUGAUGAUUAAAAA